AUUGAACGCUGGCGGCAGGCCUAACACAUGCAAGUCGAACGGUAACAUUUCUAGCUUGCUAGAAGAUGACGAGUGGCGGACGGGUGAGUAAUGCUUGGGAACUUGCCUUUGCGAGGGGGAUAACAGUUGGAAACGACUGCUAAUACCGCAUAAUGUCUUCGGACCAAACGGGGCUUCGGCUCCGGCGCAAAGAGAGGCCCAAGUGAGAUUAGCUAGUUGGUAAGGUAACGGCUUACCAAGGCGACGAUCUCUAGCUGUUCUGAGAGGAAGAUCAGCCACACUGGGACUGAGACACGGCCCAGACUCCUACGGGAGGCAGCAGUGGGGAAUAUUGCACAAUGGGGGAAACCCUGAUGCAGCCAUGCCGCGUGUGUGAAGAAGGCCUUCGGGUUGUAAAGCACUUUCAGUUGUGAGGAAAAGUUAGUAGUUAAUACCUGCUAGCCGUGACGUUAACAACAGAAGAAGCACCGGCUAACUCCGUGCCAGCAGCCGCGGUAAUACGGAGGGUGCGAGCGUUAAUCGGAAUUACUGGGCGUAAAGCGCACGCAGGCGGUUUGUUAAGCUAGAUGUGAAAGCCCCGGGCUCAACCUGGGAUGGUCAUUUAGAACUGGCAGACUAGAGUCUUGGAGAGGGGAGUGGAAUUCCAGGUGUAGCGGUGAAAUGCGUAGAUAUCUGGAGGAACACCAAUGGCGAAGGCAGCUCCCUGGCCAAAGACUGACGCUCAUGUGCGAAAGUGUGGGUAGCGAACAGGAUUAGAUACCCUGGUAGUCCACACCGUAAACGCUGUCUACUAGCUGUUUGUGACUUUAAGUCGUGAGUAGCGAAGCUAACGCGCUAAGUAGACCGCCUGGGGAGUACGGCCGCAAGGUUAAAAC
rnacentral:rRNA from 1 species